UUGAAACAUUGGUUCUCAUAUAAUCACCAAAGUUAAGCGACGCUGAGCCUGGUCAGUAACUAGAUGGGUCACCGCUUGGGAAUACCAGGUGCUGUAA